GAAUAUUGGACAAUGGGGGGAACCCUGAUCCAGCCAUGCCGCGUGUGUGAAGAAGGUCUUCGGAUNGUAAAGCACUUUAUGUUGGGNGGAAGAGUUGUAGGCUAAUACCUUGCAAUUUUGACGUUACCAACAGAAUAAGCACCGGCUAACUUCGACCCAGCCGCCGCGGUAAUACGAAGGGGGUAAGCGUUAAUCGGAAUUAUUGUGCGUAAAGCGCACGUGGGUGGUUCGUUAAGUUGAAAGAGAAGGCCAAGGGAUUAGCCUAAGAAUUGCUUUCAAGACUGACGAGCUAGAGUACGGUAGAGGGUAGUGGAAUUUCCUGUGUAGCGGUGAAAUGAGUAGAUAUAGGAAGGAACAUCAGUGGCGAAGGCGACUACCUGGACUGAUACUGACACUGAGGUGCGAAAGCGUGGGGAGCAAACAGG
rnacentral:rRNA from 1 species